UCGAUCAUGCGGAAGAUCAUUG
rnacentral:rRNA from 1 species